AUUGAACGCUGGCGGCAGGCCUAACACAUGCAAGUCGAGCGGAUGAAGGGAGCUUGCUCCUGGAUUCCGCGUCGGACGGGUGAGUAAUGCCUAGGAAUCUGCCUGGUAGUGGUGUAUAACGUCCGGAAACGGGCGCUAAUACCGCAUACGUCCUGAGGGAGAAAGUGGGGGAUCUUCGGACCUCACGCUAUCAGAUGAGCCUAGGUCGGAUUAGCUAGUUGGUGGGGUAAAGGCCUACCAAGGCGACGAUCCGUAACUGGUCUGAGAGGAUGAUCAGUCACCUUGGAAGUGAGCCGCGGACAAGACGACUAAGGGAGGGAGCAGUGGGGAAUGGGGGACAGUGGGGGGAAACAUGGUACAACCAGGGCAAGUGUGAGGAAGAAGUGUUCGGAGUGGGAAGAACUUUAAGUUGGGGGGAAGGGCAGUAGGUUGAUACCAAGCGGUUUUGACGGUAACAACAGAAGAAGCACCGGCUAACUACGUG
rnacentral:rRNA from 1 species